rnacentral:pre_miRNA from 10 species
CUCCGGUGCCUACUGAGCUGAUAUCAGUUCUCAUUUUACACACUGGCUCAGUUCAGCAGGAACAGCAU